UAUACUUGUUAGAGCGAUAGGUAUACUGUAUUUAAAUUUAACUGCAAGACUUAGUGAUACUGAAACCAGCUGUUGAUAUGUUUUUAGUCUAUUGAAAUAAUGAAUGAAGAUGGGUACCUAGACAACGAAGAAACUGUUAUAAAUAAGAGAUAUACAAAUUCCUAUGUUAUGGCACAAAAACACGAAUAAUCAACUUAUGUAUAAAAGCUCACUAAAUUUGUUUUAAAAUUGAUGAAAAUGAAAGCGAUGAGUAAACAUACAGUUAUAGCUCCAAAAUCAAGAGUAAACAAAAUGAGCCUGGAGCGAUUCGUGAAAUUCAAGAGCAGAACGUCCAAAGCAAGCAACAAGCAGGAACAUCUGCGCAUAAAGUUUUCCGACCGAAAGUUACAAUCCUAAAGGAAGAAAAAAAAAAGUCAAAGGACACAUAGAAGAAAUUAACAUCAUAGCUGUGAAAAUAGGAAGAAAGACCAACAGAUAUUGAUAAAAAUGUCCAAGAAGAUGAAGAUGAAGAAACUAAAAAACCCUUAAGCAUGAGAACCGUAAGCUGCGCAUACGAGACACUUUAGAAGAAAGUGACUGGCCACUAAGUGGCCAGCCACUUUGUUGCCAGCUGAUAAUAUUACACUCGCACAGCAGACGAAACAUUGUUCGUGGCAGCCCCAAAAUUCCAAAUGAAUUUCCAACGUGUCAUCAUGCCAUGGUUCGAAGGUCCCUGUGUCUGUGCUUUGCUGGAAAAAUGAAAGCGAAAGAAAAAAAAGAUACUAGCGGAAAGUGUUGGGUACAUCCAAUAAUUAGCCAAAGACUGGUAGCAUUGGGAAAUUUUUUCAUAUUUGAAGACUAAAGUCUUACCCCCAAAAAUUUUACAGUUUCUUCAGGAUGAGUGAAGAGUAGCUAUUUAACAAUCCGAUUACCAUAUCUAAACCUAGUAUAUAUGAUUUCCCAUCAGGACAGAGACAAAUUUGACAGUGGAAAGGCAGGAGGUAGAAACUUGAAGGACCAAUGCGGUGAGGAAGAGAAAAUAUAAAGUUAUAGCUGCAUCUGCCAGCCAAUCUACACUGCAAAUCUGAACUAUGACUAUGUGGCAUCAUAACUUUUUAAAAGGUCAAGGUUUAAGCAUAACAGAUUUCUAACCUGACUCUCCAGCUACUCCGUAUCAUCGGAUAUUAGUCAGCACACCGGGAAUCUGGUCUUUCACUAGGAAUAUACUGCUCGAUGGAAUAGUCGACGAAUUUGUUGAGGACUGGAAUGAGGGCUGAAGAACUAGUUUGGUUAAUCUUGAUGGCCUGGGGAUGCCCUGAAAGAUUGGCAAGAGUAAAUGCCGCUCUGCCCAAAGAGACAAGAAGAGAGGAGCAUAUCCAGAGGAAGGGCAGCCCCAAAACCUCGGCCCAGAAGAAGGUUUUACACCAAAGAGGAGCUGGAGGAAUCCAGGAGGGAAGCAGGGCCCAGCAGAAAAAGAAACUGCUCCAGGUCUGCAUCAAGAAGACCCACCCCCCAGCAAACAAAUCCUCAGGCACCUAAACCAUUGCCAAGGACCAUUUUCAUCAAAACAAUCUAUCUCAGGGACAGACUGAUGGACUUCUCCAACCGAAUCAUUAAGGGAGACAUCAACGCGGAAACUGUCCAAGAGUACAUAGAAGUACUUCUAAAGAGCUUCACUAAAGAGCUUCAUUAAAGGAGCUUCCAAGUCCCCCUCCCCCUUACCUCUAUGCAGGAGGCAGCGACCAAAGCUGAACCAAAACCCACUCAAACCCCGUCACCUCUACCUUCCACAUCCACCCUCAACCCCUCACCUUCCACAUCCUCAGAACUAAUAACCCACACUCCUCUCAACUCCUCCACCUCAUCCUCAUCAUCACCAUCAGUCACUGAAGGCAUGACAGGAGAAACUGGAAGAACAUACGCACCAAGGGACCCCAGACAGUUCUCCUCAACAUACCAAUCAUGCUGAAGAUAAUAAACUGGAACGCUGGUGGAAUAAGGACAAAGGCAGCCACACUAAUUGCAGUCUGCAAAACAGAAAAUGUGGACAUCAUUCUAGUUAAGAAACCAUGCUAACAACUGGGACAAAAUUCAGAAUAACUGGUUAUAAUGUCUACACAACUCCAUGCGUAGGCACAAACAGAGGAUUGGCAAUUCUCGUCAAGAAUACAAUCCCAACAGCGAGAACACACAACCCAAUCCCCUGUGGCAACAAUGUGGAAACCCUAGCAGUGAGAAUCACACUACUAAACCAGAGGAUAGAUAUAUACAACAUAUAUAGAAAAAUACAUAGAGAAGAACCAGGAGAACUACAGCUCUCACAGCUCUUCGCACACGCAGGAGAUUCACCAACAACUAUAUGUGGGGACUUCAACGCACAUCACCCUCUAUCAUCCCCAUCGACCACAAACCAACCUGGAGAGCACAUAGCUAUCUCUCUAGAUGAGUUUGAAGGAGUGUGUGUACUCAACUCAGGGCAACCUACACACAUAAGAGGAGGCAGAUUAGAUUUGACAUUUGCCACAACAACAAUCACACCUAACAAGGUGGCAAGUACAUACGACACUAGUAAGCGAUCACUUUGCCACAGUAACAGUUGGAGAUGCAGCAACUACCGCCAAUACCGCCGCCUCCUCCGACAUGGAACAAAGACCUAGCAGACAGGGUUGUAUUUCGUCUAGCCCUUGAAGAGUGGGCAGCACAAUACACACCUCCAUAAGACAUAGAUCAGCUAGAAAAAGAUCUAGUUGAGGCUAUACACAAUGCUGCAAACAAGGCAAUGCCCAUGAGAGUAGGAAGAAGAGACCACACCUACAAAGACUCCUGGUACUACUGCCCAGAAGUAAGAAGACUGAAAACCCUACUGAACAGGGAAGUAAGAAGACUGAAAACCCUACUGAACAGGGUAACAAAAAACUACAGGAAAAGGACGACAACAGAAAACUGGGAACUGCUACAAGCAGUCAAAAAUGAUGUUCAACAGCAGCUGCAAGAGAUAAGAAUUGAAAAGUGGAUGGAAUGGUGUACAAAACUAUCACAGUACACAUCUCUCUCGGAGCUAUGGAAGUGGCUGAACAGAGGACCGGAAAGAAGAAACACCCGUAGCAACUCUCCCUCACCCACUAGAAGAAGCGGAAAGACUGGCAACAUCCUUCGCCAGUAGGACUAGCUCAGGUAACCUCUCCCCUGAAACAAGAAGAAUUCAGGAUCAACUAGCACCGAUCAGAUGGGAGGAGAUCGAUGCAGCCCGCCACAGACCAGAUGAUACUGACACCCCUUACACAGUAGAGGAACUGAAAGCAGUUUUUAAAGCUGGCAGAGAGACAGCACCAGGAGCAGACAGGAUAACGUACACCAUGAUCAGCAAAAUGGGUCCUGCAGGAGAAACUGCCUUUCUGAGAAUCCUGAACAAAACACACAUCGAACACACAAGACCACAAACCUGGCGGCAGCAGGACACGCAGCCAAUCCCCAAACCUAAAGAUCCAGAGAACCCAAGACCAAUCGCAUUGGUGUCAUGCAUUGAGAAAACAGGAGAAAAAAUGGUACUAAAUAGAAUGAAGUAAAAGAUUGGUCCACUGCACAAGCAGCUAUAUACAUAUCAGGAAGGAGUCGGAACUACAGAGUGCAUAACAAAUGUUCUCGGCUACAUAAAUCAGGAGAAGGCCACAGUAGUCUUCAUAGAUUUUGAAAAGGCUUUUGAACUAGCCAGUCCAGCAGCAAUACUUCAAUCAGUAGUAAGGAAGGGAGUCAAAGGACACUUCCUAGCCUGGACAACAAACUACGUACUGGGAAGGCAGGCCAGAGUAAAAUUCCAAGGAGUGAUGUCUACAUUCCACGACUUGGAAAAUGGCACCCCUCAGGGAGGAAUUCUGAGCCCAUUUCUAUUCAAUAUACUAAUGGAGAGUAUAGCCUUCCUGCAGCUUCCAGAAGGCUUAGAAAUCUUCAUCUAUGCCGAUGAUGUGUGUGUAGUCGCAAGAGGAGCUGUUAGAGUACCCAGAAUGCAAAGGGCACUCAAUGACAUAAACAACAAAUCAAAUGAGCUUGGCCUUAAAAUAAACAUAAAUAAAACAAAGGCCAUGACAAUAAAAGCCCACAGACCGCUGCAACCACUAACAAUAGGAGCUGAGCCCAUAGAAUGGGUAGACAGCUACAUGUACCUGGGAGUUGUCAUAGAUCAGCAGCUAACUUUCAAGGAAGAAAUAAAGUACUUGAGAGAGAAAGCAAAUGCAAGACUGGCCACCAUGAGAUACAUGUCAUCCCUGAAGGAGGGAGCAAAUGAACACAUACAAAGGAAGUACUACCUAGCCUGCACUAGAACAUUGGUGGACUACGCUGCCCCCACUCUGAUGAGGCUGACAGAGGCUCAAAAAGAAUCACUGGAGGUCAUUCAAAACCAUGCAAUGAGGCUCAUGCUAGGAGCACCCACAUGGACAAGGCUGUGCAACCUCAAGCUUGAAACCAACUUGCCAAAAUUAGAGGAUAGGAUUGCACAGCGAAAUGCAAGCACAAUGGCAAAGAUGUUCCUCUCAAAGAUACUCCAUCUCUAAGAAAAGAGCAAGAGAGGGACUUUCUAAACACCCAGAGAUUCAAACUUCCAGUUCCUAUGGUAAGGACCAAAGUGACAACAUCAAGAGUCUAGGCAUGGCAGAAACACUGCUGCAACUAGGUCCAGACAACACAGGGCACACAAAAACUACCACCCUGGAAGAAGGACACUGCAAUAUACAAAUACACAAGCCUGCCAAGAGCAAAAGAGGACUGCACAAGAGAAGAGCUAAGAGCAGCAGCCUAUGAAGCAAUCGGAAACACUGAGACCAUAGGUAGCACAAACAUACUACACCGAUGGCACUGUAGAUCCUGAGAAUCAAACUACGGGAGCUGCAGUAUACUCGAGAAACUCACAGCCUGCUGGAGGACCUCCAACCACGCCUCCACUAUGCAGACAGUUAACAGCAAUAAGACAGGCACUGCUGUACUCACUGGAGAAUGAAGGGCCUGUAAUCAUCCACACAGACUCAGUCCUCAAUGCAAGCCCUGCAACAACAGAAAAACAAAGAAAAUAAGGCACUGCUGGCUGGAAUUAAAACACUGCUACACCAGCACAGCGAAAGAGGAAGACCUGUCACCUUAAACUGGAUACCCAGUCACACAGGAAUUCCAGGCUACGAGAGGGCUGAUGAGCUAGCCAAAAGUACAAAACACAUUGACAGAGUGCAAAUAAGGAUACAACCUGCACUGCAAAACAAAUAAAAAUUGCUAAAAGACCAUCGUGAGUGGGUAGAAAAGCACUCAGUCUGCCAGAUGGUAUAAGACACAGACUGAUCUUGUGCCUCCUCCCAUAGACAGGCACACACCAAGAAAACUUGCUGUGAUCAUCCACAGACUCAGGCUAGGAUAUAAAGCCUGCUGGGAAGUUUGUGGUAAACAGUGUCAGACCAUGUGAACACUGUCAAGAAGAAACUCGGCAACCACUCCUUCACUACCUGCUGGAAUGCAGAGAAACAGCACAGCUAAGAGGUGCAGCACAAAAUUAAUUACCUGCACAAGAUGCAGAGCAUGCAGCUGCCACAGUCACAAAGACAAUCAUUGAAAACUUAGAAGAGCAUGCCCAGGUGCUCUACAACCUACCUCCACCAAGGUAAAGAAACUAAGAAGUGACAUCACCCACCCUCAUCACAUCCCCUCACUGUAAGGCUCUAUCCACAUCAUCCACUAUCAUUCUUUUAAAACUUUACCUACAACUGAAAUCCUCCCGCAGGGACCCAAGGGAGUAAAGGGUUGGACAAACCCACCUGCACCGCUUCUCCGAUAUUCGAAAGCCUUACAUUCUUUCAAACUUCUUCUAUAAUAUGACAUGAUGGCCCUCUCUUUUUGACCCCAUCAUCCUUCCCCUGUCCACUUCUAUCUCUACAACUAAAGAUAUUUCCAAUUUCAAAAAACUAACAGUGUACCUAAUGAAUCUUUUCAGAUCACCUACGGGCCGAACAAGGGAAAGGCCCGUGCCAACAAGUAUUGGCUUAAUACAACAACAUCAUAAUCUUGAGGUGGUCGUGAAGAAGUUUCCCAAGACUAUUUGGCAACCUUCUGAGGAGCGUUCCAGCAGAGAAUGUAGAUAAUAACAGCAAAGGGGACGAACACAUCAGAAGAGAUGCCAAAAAAAAAAAAAAAAAAAAAAAACUGCAAGGAUUAGCUCAAACGACUCUUAACUACAGAAACCUUUGAGGCCAUACAGAGAAAAGGACCAUAAACGCGAAUGAACAGGAUCGGCCAGAAGACCGGUGGGCAAGAGGACCGAACGGCGGAAUAUCAGUUGUGUAACUCUAUACAGUUGCCGGUAUUCCAGGGCAGUAUUAAAGAAUUUAUGAUCGAGGCGUCCAGAAAUUUCUUAUAAAUUUUUUUAUUUUUUUGCCACUGGGGGCCCAGUUUCGGUAUCAGGCUUUUUGGAACUCUUAUCCUGUUUAACUUUUUAAAAUAGUUUAGUAUGAAAAAUAAAAAAAAAUUUAGUUUGUUGGUUUUAUAGAGAAAAACUAGUUUAAAGAAAAACCAAUGUAAAAUUAUUAUAUGUAUAUCUAAUGUAUAUUAAUAACAAUUGUCUUAGAUUAAAUUAAAAUUUCUUG